AUUGAACGCUGGCGGCAUGCCUUACACAUGCAAGUCGAACGUCAGCAUGAUCUAGCUUGCUAGAUUGAUGGCGAGUGGCGAACGGGUGAGUAAUACAUCGGAACGUGCCCUGUAGUGGGGGAUAACUAGUCGAAAGAUUAGCUAAUACCGCAUAAGACCUGAGGGUGAAAGUGGGGGACCGCAAGGCCUCAUGCUAUAGGAGCGGCCGAUGUGUGAUUAGCUAGUUGGUGAGGUAAAGGCUCACCAAGGGGACGAUCAGUAGCUGGUCUGAGAGGACGAUCAGCCACACUGGGACUGAGACACGGCCCAGACUCCUACGGGAGGCAGCAGUGGGGAAUUUUGGACAAUGGGGGCAACCCUGAUCCAGCAAUGCCGCGUGUGUGAAGAAGGCCUUCGGGUUGUAAAGCACUUUUGUCCGGAAAGAAAUCGCACUUACUAAUAUUAGGUGUGGAUGACGGUACCGGAAGAAUAAGGACCGGCUAACUACGUGCCAGCCGCCGCCGUAACAC
rnacentral:rRNA from 1 species